UUUUAUAAUAGGACACACUGGAAACAUUGGUAAUUUUCAGAUAUGACCAAACAGUUUUGAGGAAUUGAGGUUGACUUUACAGAGCCAAUACGAACCCCCUUGGAAAACUGGCCCGGUACCUUGUCUAUAUGCUUCACUUACAAGAUUCCUGACCUUACAAGAUUCCUGACCUUGUGGAAACCAGAACCAUGGUAUUCCAAAGACUAGAGAUGAUUCAACAAAGCAUGUGAAUCUCCUUCAUUUGGAGUCCUGCUGAGCCUGCUCUGUUUUCCAUUGCCAAUGCACCACUAUUAAAGCUAUAUAACAUUAAGCACCCUCCCUCUUGGUGCAGGGACUAUUGUGAAAGACGCAGGUCUUCUUUAUUGUACAGCUGCUCCUUAACUUACGAUGGGGUUAUAUCCUGAUAAACUCAUCAUAAAUUGAAAAUAUAAUAUGUUGACAUAGAGCUGCUAUUACCUGAAGAUGGCUGAAUAGGAACAGCUCCGGUCUACAGCUCCCAGCGUGAGCGAUGCAGAA